GUGUGAGUUAACUUUUUACUCUGCUUGUUUGAUCUGUCAAAAAUUACUCUAUUUUGUCUGUUGUAGUUAAUCUAACAAGGCUUUUGUGUCAUGUCAUAGACACUAGGCGAUUGCAGGAGAAUCUGGUCAUCUACUUUCCUUUUAGAACGCCCUGUUAUGUCAGCUUGUUCGAUCUGUUAGUGAUUCUUCAGUCUGAUUAGCUCACAUGAAUUUCUUGCAAGUAUAAUGAAAAAGCCCUUAACUCAAAUGUCUGUAUGAAGUUGCGUAUUUGACCACUUAUAUGGUCAGAUAACAUGAUACCUUUAAAUGGGAAGACACUGAUGUAACUGAGAUAUGAAUAUCGAAUUGUAAUUCUGGGAGAGAAUAAUCAAUUAUGAGGUUACUGCCCAUAUAUAGAUGCAAAACCCAACUACUUGACUAUUGUGGUACUGCCAGAAGAAACUCUAUGUUUAAGUACCUCGACUUCUGCAGGUAUUGUAGAAGGGAAACAUUAUCGGCUGCAUCCAUCUCUCAUCUCUUUCCUUUAUUUUCCACUCUGCAGGUUCAGUUGCAUGUUUGUCUGCUGAUUUGUUCGUCACGGAAGGAGAGGGUGAUCUGUCGUGGCUGCCAUGCGUUGUGGUGCUGGUUGAGCUCAUCACGUGGUUACUUCCAUGUUGCAGCUCUGUUUAUCUUUUAUGUUUCUGAACUGUGUGCAUCACAGGUGAACAGGGUACGGCUACAUAAACAUGUUUCGGAUAAGAGGUACUUCUGCAGCACACCUUCAGUCGAAUUCUCAGAAGAAUUGGAAGCAUUGUAGAGAAGAAACUUAGUUUUGCAGUAGCUGAUCUGGAAAUAAACCCAAAUUUGCCUGCCAUGUAAAGGAAUACUAGAUAAGUUUUCUUGUGUGAUUGCAUUUCCCUGAAAAAUUGGAUGGGUCAUGGUGGGGCAACAGAAGUAUCAUGGUUUAGAUAUAGAUGGUUCUAGGAAAUUUUCCACUGGCUCUAUUCAGGGAGUAAGGAUUUAGUGAAGAUCAUCAAUGGUACAAAUCAUGCAUGAUGCAUGUCGCUAUUAUUGAAACAACUUUUUAUUUCCAGCCUGAAGAAAUAUAAAUGGGGACUAUCAGGGAUGUCAAGGAGGAAACCUAGGUGACACUGAAUCUAUGAACGUGGUUGCUUUAAGGCAUGGAUGCAACAUGGUAUUUUAUAAGUCUGAUAUGCGCUUCGACCGUAUCGAACUCGACCAAGAUUGACGAAACAGAGAUUCAGGCAUCAAAGGCACACACAAGUAAGUUGAUUAACUACAUAUAUGCAUCAUGUGAAACCGGAAGUUCCGUCGGACAACCUCAGGAACACAUAUGAAACAGUUUGCAAGGAAUCGUAGUCUGGCCUUGGGCUAGACUAUUUUGUUUCUUGGUAUACCAAAAAGAGUAAGAAGAUGAUAAAAUGUGGUCUUACAUAUGGAUUUACACUGCAACUGAAUUGUUAAUUCUUUUUACCAAUUCCUAUAUAUAUUCAGGCCUUUUAUUUUUGCCUUUGUCAAUAUCAGUGCAGGAUUAGGUGAUGUUUUGGUUUAGGCAUAGCCUUAUGAAAUCCUGUUUCGCUGCAGUUCUUCACCUCUGUUUUGGUGGUUUUCCAGUUUAGGCACAUCCAUACCAAUGUGUUAUUUGUAUAGAUAAUCUGGUUGUUUGUUAUUUCCAUCUUGAACAAUGCAAGAUGAUCAAUACAUGUCAUUAGCUGGUUAGCUCAUGACUGAAAUGGGCUACCUUGGCCAGGAACAUCAUGUGUCCUUUAAUUUCUGGGGUUGAAGUCAUUUAGAUUCAGUAUAAAAAAUUCUU